rnacentral:lncRNA from 1 species
UACUCCAUUCAAAAAGAAACAUUGCUAUGCUUAGACAAGAACUUUCGUAAAAGGAGAAAUACCAAUAUAUUCUAAGAUAAUGCCGUUUAAGCUUGAUUCUAUUUUCACUAUUCUUCUCUUGACAGCUUGUAGUAAGUAUUAAUCUCUGCUUAUAUAUAGAUUGUAAUUAUAUUAUUGUCGUUAGCAAUAUAUUUUUAGGUAAUUUGAUUUCCAUAAUAAUGAUUUUGGAUUAUUUCAGUUAAUUUGUCGUGGUUUUCAAGAACGCAAGCUAUGUCAACACGGGAUAUUAAUCACGAUGCUUUAGAAUUCCAAAGAAGACUACUCCCACAAGUUAAUGAUCUUAUAACUUGCGGAAGAGGUUGUACGACAAAGAGUGAUUGCAGUGAUUGUUGGUGGUGUUGUAAUUGCGACUUGGUAUUAGAAGUUGGUAGUUAUGUAUGCGUGCAUUGAACUCGCUACAUAUUUCUAAUAUGCAUUUAAGUUUCCAUGUAAUUUCAAUAUUCUCUUUGGAGUUUUUACUUUCUCUUUUAAAGUCAUGUGGAUAGAUUUCCACUAAGGAUAAUUAUGGAUUCAACUCUAAGACUGGCCGGGUAGCUUUUUAAUACUUGUAUGAUUCAUCAAUCAUUUACAAAUUUAUCGCAUAUGUAAUCUACGUUAGCCUCCUCUUUUAAUGUUCUUUAUUUACUUUAUUGAAAUAUUCCUUCCC